ensembl:lncRNA
CCAUAGACAAGAAUAUCCUACCAGCUUCCAGAGUUACUCAGUAAUGCCUUUUUGUGGGUGGUAACUUCACUCUCUACCCCAUGUGAUUUCAUCUUCCUUGGAGUGCAGCCCAGAACAGAGAAACAGAGACAUGCUCUACCUAAACCUUCCAUGGACAUUCUUGCUUUCCCAGACUGUGCUGGAAGACUUAGAAACUGCUACAGAAUGAAUGUUGUACCCCCCCCAAGAUUCAUAUUUUGAAAUCCUGAUCCCUAAUGUUUUGGUAUUUGAAGCUGGAGCCUUUGGGAGGUCAUUAGGUCAGGAGGGCAGAGCACUCAUGAAUGAGGUUAGUGCCCUUAUAAAAGAGACUCCAAGACCUCCCUUGUCCCUUCUGCCAUGUCAGGACACAGCAAGAAGACGGCUUCUAUAAAGCAGGGAGUGGGCACUCACCAGACACCAAAUCUGCUGGCACCUUGAUCUUGUAGUUCCCAGCCUCCAGAACUGUGAGAAAUAAACCACCCAGUCUCCUGUAUUCUGUUAUAGCAGCCCCAGCAGACUAAGACAGGAAACCCUCUUCUGAUGCUUGCACUGCAUUGUGUAUUUAUGUCCAUGAUAACAAUUACCCUUAGUAUUAUAAUUACUUAUGGCAUAAUCGUUCCAUGAUUUCAGAAAGCUCUGAACUCCUUGAAUUCAGUGAUCGUAUCUUUCUACAUUUGCAUCCUCAAAACUUAGCAAAUUCCCAGACUCAGUAGAUGUUCAAAUAAAUGUUUUUUGAAAGAAUGACAUUUUGAUGAACGAAGUAUCUGUGACUCAUUUCAGGUCCGUACAAGUCCAACAAUAGACAUUAGUCAAACUUCUCAUUUUCAAUCAACUGUUGAAGGUGGCGUGGUUGACUUAGAUUUAGCAGACUUCAGUAAGCAAAGCCCAAGAAAACAACAAAAUGUCACAAUCCCUAUCCUCCCUACAAAGCCAUUGUACUACAGACAGGGGAUUCAAUGGUGAACAAAAGACACAGUUCCUGCCUUCAGAGAGUUUGCAUCCUAGUGGGGAAACCAGAUAUUGAAUACACAAUAACAAUUAAAGCAGUUGUUGGAAUGAUGUACGAUGAAGGUUUCUCAAGUACUAGUGAGGCUGAAGUAAUUUCCUACAUAAUGUACCACAAACAGACUUAGAAAUGUUGGUUUUAGAUGCCAUGAUGCAAUUCAAAUUUUCCAUGCAGUAGAUUAGAUAGUAGCAUGACUAAGGUGAAGGGCCAGUGAGCUAAAGUGCCUCCUGUAUGAUUCAUAAACUGAAAUAUUAAUAAAGUAGAAAAUCAAAAUGAAAACAAUUUAGGGAUUCUUUUGUCUGCUUAUUAUAGGCUCAUUUGUGUAGGUCCAAUUUCAGACAAAGAAAACUUAUAAUGGAAAAGAACACAGCAGGGGAAACAUGAAUUUAAAAAAGAACAGAAAAAAGGAAUAGAAGCAAAAGCAAAAGGUCAGCAUCAAAAUACCCCAUCUCUGUAAAACAAUGCUUAUUAUAGUCUUCCCUCUUUGCAGAAUCUCCAGCUGAGCUCCUGGGUUGCUCUAUCGAAAAUUGGCAACCUUUGUAUACUGCAGUGCAUCACUC